rnacentral:tRNA from 13 species
GACUCGGUGGCGCAACGGUAGCGUGUCUGACUCCAGAUCAGAAGGCUGUGUGUUCAAAUCCCGUCCGGGUCA